rnacentral:rRNA from 1 species
UACAGAGGCCCCAAGCAUUAUCCGGAAUCACUGGGCGUAAAGGGUGUCGAGGCGGUCAUGUUAGUCGUUUGUAAAAUCCGGGAGCUCAACUUCCGGCCCGCAAGCGAAACGGCAUGACUAGAGAGCAGAAGAGGUGCAUGGAACUCACGGUGUAGGGGUGAAAUCCGUUGAUAUCGUGGGGAACACCAAAGGCGAAGGCAGUGCACUGGUCUGUUUCUGACGCUCACACACGAAAGCUAGGGUAGCGAACGGG